AAACCUUGUGGGUAGAAACCCUCGGAUUUCUGGGUUCUUUUCCGCCCCACACUCACCCACGGGGCCCUAGUGGAGUUACCCUAAAGUUUCCGCCCCGCCUCUCCCGACUCGCAGUAGGUCUCACUUCUCUCUUUGAAGGACAAUCCCUGCUGCCCCCCCCAACAUUUUCUUAACAUGCAAUUUAUUUUAAUUCUACAGUGUAGAAAUAUACACGUACAGACAGAGGUACUCGGGAAGGCGCUCUGCUCCGAAGGCACCCUGAAGGCGCGGCGUUCUGUCGGGAUUUGCGGUUUGGGAGCGCUGUCUGGGCAGCUCGAAACAAAGCCUUACUCUGUCACCCAAGCUGGAGUGCAGCGGUGUGAUGAGAUCCCACUGCAGUUUCAGCCUCCUGGGCUCAAGCCAUCCUCCCACUUCAGCCUCCUGAGUAGCUGGGACUACAGGUGUGCACCACCAUGUCUAGCUAAGUUUUAAAUGUUUUGUGAAGUUAGGGGUCUUGCUAUGUUGCUCAGGAUGAACUCCUGGCCUCAAGUGAUCACCCCCACCACCUCAGCCUCCCAAAGUGUUGGGAUUAUAGGUGUGAGCCACCAUGCCUGCCCCUUUUUACCCUUCUAUCCCCAGUUCUUCCCAUAAUCCCUGGCACACAAUCCAUAUUUGGUGCAUGAAUGAAGUGAAAGAAUGGCAGAAUGUUAUCCAGGCAGCACGAGGAUCUGAUAGUUCCAGUCCCAAUCACAGUUGCAGCUCACUUAUGUGCCUGGGAAACAGCAUUUGCUGCAAUUGUUCUAAGCUGAGGGUGGGGGGCGGGGAAGUUAAUAAUCAGUCUUUCUUAGUGAAGGAUGAAAGGUGACACUCUCUAGAUGAGAGUUCAUUGAAGGAAGAUACUGCUUCUCACUUCUCCUUGUCUCUCCAACAAUGGGCAUUGAAUACUGAGCAGGUACAACCAGGGGUCAGUUCCUGUCUGUGGGUGUAGAAUGAAUGGGUGAUGAGAGGGUGGAUGGGUUUGUGUGUAAACAGGUGGAUGAAUGGAAGGAUGGGGUGGAGGGUGGAUGUGUAGUUGGGUGGAUGGGCAGGUGAACAAGUGGAUGGAUGGAAGA
rnacentral:lncRNA from 13 species